rnacentral:rRNA from 1 species
UACGUAGGAUGCAAGCGUUGUCCGGAAUUAUUGGGCGUAAAGAGCGCGCAGGCGGUCUAUCAAGUCAGAUGUGAAAUAUCCGGGCUUAACCCGGAGGGGUCAGUUGAAACUGGUAGACUAGAGUACAGCAGAGGAUAGUGGAAUUCCCGGUGUAGUGGUGAAAUGCGUAGAUAUCGUAAGGAAGACCAGUGGCGAAGGCGGGUCUCUGGACAGUUCCUGACGCUGAGGCACGAAGGCCAGGGGAGCAAACGGG